rnacentral:tRNA from 1 species
GCCGGGGUGGCCGAGCGGCCCAAGGCGCGGGACUUGAGAUCCCGUCCCCGCAUGGGGGCCCGGGUUCAAAUCCCGGCCCCGGCGCCA